GUGCCAGGCAUAGAGGGAUUCAACAAAUACGAGUGAGUGAAGAUUGCAGCUUCAGAGGCACAAAACUGCUAUAAUAAAAAGCCAAGUCAUCCUAAGAGUAGAAACCAUAACCACAAAAAUAUUUCAGAACCCCCUGGUGGUCAUUCUGAGACUUCAAGAGCAUUGUCUACCUUGUUCAGGACUAGCUAAUGAAUGGAUGGAGCUAAACCCACACGUCACAAAAGACUUUCUCUGUGGCUAUCGGGGCAGUGAAAAACUGGGGUCUCAUAGCAUGAGUCCCUGGUAAACUAAGAUAAAAUAAUGCUAUCAUGUGAUAUGUUUGCAUUUUUAAAAGACCUCUUGGAUAGUGCCUUAACUCAAAGGAAUGAUUUUGUAGUGGAAUAUCAGGCUUUAGAGUAGUCAGGGGGAAAACAAUAGCAUUUUAUUCAUAGAAACUUUCCUUGAGGGCCUGCUCAAGACUCACCUCAUAGGUGUGACUACCUAUUUAGAGUUGCCAGAUAAAAUACAAGGUGCCCUAUAUCUUCAUAUAAGUAGGCCCCAAAUAUUAAAUGGGAUGUACUAAUACUUUUUUAAAAAUCAUUUUUUGCUUCUCUGAAAUCUGAAUUUAACUUGGCAUCCUAUAAUCUUAUUGGUGAAAAAAAAAUAAAGCUUUGAAAAAGCAGAACUAUUACAUUAUAGGAGUUUUCUGAUUGUUUUCAGCUUAGCCCUUUUAGAGACAGCAUCUUGUUAUGUUGCAAGAAUUAACUCCUGGGCUCAAGAUCCUGCCAACCUCAGCUUCACAAAAAGUUGGGACUACAGACAUGUGCCACCAUGCCUGCAAACAUGUACAGUUCAAAAACUUUGCUCAUAACGUUCAUAGCACCAUUAAAUACAGUUGUGAAAAUUAGAAGUAAUCUAAAUGUUCCACCAUAGCUCUGAAUAAGCAAAGUAUGAUAUAAUCACUCAAUUGAAUAUUACAGUCAUAUAAUAUUAACAAAGAAUUACAUAGAAAAUAUCAUAAAAUGUAGAUCCGUGACAUUAUCAGACUUUACGUUUAGAUCUCACUGAUGCCUAACCUGAUCACUCUAUUUAAUCUUGCAACUACUUCUAUCUCACAAACACAUACCCAGCACUCCCAAUCUGUUGUUCCCAGCUCUAUUUUUUCCUUUUUAUGAAGAACUUAUCACCUUCUAACAAAUUGGAUGACUUACACGUUUAUGUUUACUAUUUAUUGUAAACAAAAUCUCCUAUCUUCUCCUAUGACAAUAUGAUCUGAACAAAAAAAGUUAUUUGGUUUACUGAUGUAUCUCAAGUACCUAGAAGACGGCCUGGAAAACUUACAUAUCUUAAAUGUAUGAAUAAAUAUAUUGAACAUUAGGGAUUUUUACCACUUGCAGGUGACCUUAAUUGUAUGGCUUAUAAGAAUAUGUAAUUAUGGUGAGGCAUUAAUUUGAUUCACAGGCACUAUGAAUUAGACGUAUGGGGGCUAAUAUACAGGAGGUGCCUGGUAUCUGAAUCUCACAGUGGUUUUGUUGUUCUGUGCACAUUUUAUGAAGAAAAUUUUAUGCCUGUACAACAGCAUACCACUCAGUGAUAAAAAGGAACAAACCACUGAUCAUGUAACAAUAUAGAUGAGUCUCAAAUGUGUUAUGCUGAAUGAAAGAAGCCAGACCAAAAAAUAGAGUAUAUAUUGUAAGAUUCCUUUUAUAUAAAAUACCAGAAAAUACACACAAAGUUAUAAAAUAGAUCAGUGGCUGCCUGGGGAAGGAUGAUUGUAAUGAGGCAUGAUAAAACUUUGGAGAUAAUGGAAAUGUUCAAUAUCUUGAUUGUGACGUCAGUUUCAUGGAUAUAUAUAUAUUUCUGUCAUAACUCAUCAAAUUAUCCACUUCAGAAGUGGAUAUAUUUGAGAAGUUUAUUGUACAAAAUUAUACCUUAAUAAACUUGUUUUUAAAAAGGUAAAAAUAUAUGCUCAAAAGUAUUAAUGAAUUUAAACAUUAUAAAAAAUCUCAUUAUGAAUCUUAUAAAUUUCAAGGAUGAGAAGACAUUACGAUAAAAAGUAUAUACACAUCACAUUUAAAACUUUGUUACCCUAACAAGAAAAAAGGUGAGAAGAAAAUAUGCCAAAAUGCUAACAUUGGGAUUCAAUUAUGACAUUUUAUGAGUUUUGUAAUAUUCUUCUUUCUACUUCUCUGAGUUUUUCAAAUUUCUGUAAUGAAAAUGUAUUCUUUUUAAUAUAGAGAGAAUAUUUUAAUAGAUAUUUAUUACUAUUGUACUCAAAUACAAUUUUUGACAUAUCUUUCACAGCUCCCUAGGAUUAAUCUUCCAGAAAUAUUCACUUCCCUGCUCAAGUAAUUCCUUGGAAUUUUACUUUCUGGUGCAAGAAACUACAGUGGCUUCCCAUUACCCAAGAGAUUAAAUUCAGUUCAUUCUAGUGUACACAGCACUAUCACAACCUGUCUCCAGUAGGUUUGCUAAGUCUCCAGUUUCAAAAACAGUAUUGCCUGUGUAUGCUAUAAAUUAAACUUAACUUAAAAAAAUUAACCUCGGGUAUGAAUGUUGAGUUAUCUACCAGAUUAACAGUUGCAACCAGGGAUUAGGACUAAAUAUUUUUCUUUUUUUAAAUGUGUAACUCAAGACAGUGUGGUUUGUUGUUGUUGUUGUUGUUGUUAGCUUUCACUUUUUUUGUCUUCAUAGUAUCCUUUAAGGUAAGAAACAUUUAGAAGGUAUGUUUUAAAAGGCUGUGUACUACAUAUUUAAAUAUAUUUUUAAAAAAUACUUAGGUUUGGAGCUCCUUGUGAAUAAAAUGAAAAAGAUGUAUUUGGGGCUGCCACUUCUACUCACAUAGAAGACCUAUUUUUUGGAUUCGAUCAUUAAUACCAUGAUCUCUAGAGUAAUGUCUAUAUUAGAGCUCUCAAAUAUCCAGAAAAGUAACUUCCUUUUGAAUGCUGCCAUAUAAAAC
rnacentral:lncRNA from 1 species